AAUAUAUAUAAACCAUUAAUUGGACAAGCUAUAUAUAUAUAUUAAACCUCAACUUUGAAUUAGUGUUCCAAUAAACAGUAAUGUAAAAUUUUUAUUAGGUAAUUGCUAUUGCAAAAUAACCAAUUAAUUCCCACUGAUUUAGUGACAACCAUCCCAUAGGCAAAGAAGGCGACCCACUAAUGGGACAAAAGGACGAAGAACCCCCUUGCCCCUAAGGCCAGAGGGAUUAGCUGUGAGACUAACAAAAAUCGAGAUCGAGUUUCAAA
rnacentral:misc_RNA from 1 species